CAAAACAGACAUCGAAGUACAGACUCGUGAAUUGCACGAAAAUUCACCUACAACAAAAUUAAGAUGAUUAAUAUUUAAUAAAUCUAAAACAUCAAUAAAAUAUUUGAAAUCAACUCCCUUUUCAUCUUCUAUGGUUGAGAAGUAAUUAUGUUCUUUGGAUCAUCUUUUCUCGAAAAUGAAAAUAGAACAAUCGUGCUGAUAACGUAUUGAGAAACUAAUAAACAAUAUACAAGAAGUAGAGAAUAAAGUAGGGAGAAUAUGUAAUAUGUUAU
rnacentral:lncRNA from 1 species